rnacentral:misc_RNA from 1 species
UUACAGCACUGCAGCGAGGAGG